rnacentral:piRNA from 1 species
CCAUGCUGGAUGCGCGCCUCUCUGGGCUGG